AGCAAGAAUCACAGGCAUCAGCCUAUAGAAACAGGACAAAUGGAGAAAAUCACUGGAGAGAAUGACAGCAAAGAAACCCCUCCAGAGAGAAGAGGUCUCAGUCCAGCCUCACACCAAGUAGAGCCUCAUCAAAACGUUCUGUUCUCAUAGGGAGUUGGGGGCCUGUACCAGAGGCCAUGAAGUCUCUUGGAGUCCAUGCUAUGUGAGUGGUGCACAUCUCCACUGCCCAACCCAUAGAAAACUCACCUAAGUUUUCUCUUUUCUCUUCUAUAGAUAUUUUUGGAAAUGAGUUGGGGACAAGGAAAAAGCUAUCAUUGCACAGACAUCUACCCCAAUUCUGCCUCCUGCUGCACUCUCACUGAGAGACAAUGGUCCAAGAAGCACUCUCCCCUCUCCAUGGCUGGCUAGCUAGGUUCACAUUGGUGCAAAGAGCACUCGACAUUGCCAGAAGUGUGCAUCAUCAUGUCCCCAUGCCAUCUUCCAGUGAGGAAGCCUGAGCAGCUGGGGAGAGGCCCAUAUGGAGAAGAACCAAAGUCCCCAGUCCCCAGCCCCAGACCAGCUGAAUUCCCAGCUAACAUCCAGCACUAACUUGCCAGCCAAGAGAAUGACCUGUAUUGAAAGUGGAUUGUCCAGCCCCAGUUGGAGCCAUCUCAGCAGUUGCCAUGUGGAGCAGAUGCAAGUCAUUCCUGUCAAACUCUGUGCUUAUUUGUGAGCAAAAGAAAUAAUUGUUUUUGUUUUAAUCAACUUAGCUUUCAGGGAGUUUGUUACUGAGCAAUAGAUAACUGAUACAAUGGAAAAAUUCUAGAGGCAUUUUCACUAAAGUCAGAAACAAGACAUGGAUAACCCACUAUCACCACUCCUCUAUAUCAUAGCAGUGAACUUAUCAGGUAAUGUAACUAGGUGAAAGUAACUUUUUAUAUACACAAUAUAUGGCCAACUGACCUUCUCUUUAGAAUUAACAAUAAGCAUUUCUCUAAAUGCUCUUAGAAUUUACAAUAAGCUUUUAUAUCGAUUGUAUACAUUAGCUACACAGUAAGCUAUUAAGUGGCUGCAAAAUAGUUUAUAUAUCUAUUUUCCUAGUUUUAAUAUUUUAUAAAAUUUCAACUAUUAUAAACAUGGCUGUCAUUAACAUCCUUGUGGUUAACUGAAUCACAUGGCAGGGAACAUUUUAAGAUGUUAAAAUAAAAACAUUAAAUUUCCCUAAAUUGAAUUUUUAGUAGCAACAAAAGAGACUGCAGAUUUGAAUUUAUUAUCACUCAUAAUAAUUAUCAUUCUUUGACAAUCUGAUUAGUGAAAAAUUGCAAUGCAGUGUUGUUUAUGUGCAUUUCAGUUAGGUAAAGAGCAAUUGCUAACCUGCUUUGAUUUGAAUAUUCAGGAAGAAGCUUCAAGGUUUAACUUGCCAGAAAGCUUUUUUCCAUGAACUGGAAAGUUAUUCUAGAAGUUGUUAAGGUCCCUUCUGCCAGCAAUAGUCUAUGCAUGCAAUAAUCAAAUAAAAAAGCUACUGCCUGACAUGUUUACCACAAAAACAAAAAUACAGUAAACUCUUAUACCUUGUAAUUUCACUAUUCAACAAUAUUUGUUGAAAACUGACCACGUGCCUUGUGUUAGGCCAAGAAUGUGGGAUUCGACAGAUAACUAGAAACUUUCCCCAUCCUCCAGGAACUUACUCUGUAAUUUGGAGAGAAGACAAACACAGAAAUGCAUUUGUCAUUUCAUGAAGGUGAAAAAAGGCACAGCCAAACUGCAUUAACACCAUUUACCAUUUGAGGUGGAAAAUGGAAACUGACUCCACAGGAAUGAGGCUGCUGACUCCAAAGGUAGUUUCCAGCAAGGAGUUCCAAACAUGUUUUGAGCAAUGGCAGCAUUCCUAGAAUUUAUGUAUACCUUCCUGAGUUGAUCACCUAAAGGGCAACAUUACUGUUCAAGUGCAGCCUUUUUUUUUUUUUUUUUUUUUUUUUGAGACAGAGUCUCACUCUGUCACCCAGGCUGGAGUACAGUGGUGUGAUCUUGGCUUACUGCAACCUCUGCCUCCUGGGUUGGAGCAAUUCUCCUGCCUCAGCCUCCCGAGUAGCUGGGAUUACAGGUGUGCACCACCACGCCUGGCUAAUUUUUUUAUUUUUAGUAGAGACGGGGUUUCGCCAUGUUGGCCAGGCUGGUCUUGAACUCCUGACCUCAGGUGAUCUGUCCACCUUGGCCUCCCAAAGUGCUGGGAUUAUAGGCAUGAGCCACCACGCCUGGCCCAAGUGCAGCCUUUAAUUUACAAGUCAGUCAUGAAACUUUACCCAUAUUUCCUCAAACAUUGCUAACAAAUUGGAACUACUUUUGUAGUGGUCAGGUAGCUUCUUUCAGACACAUCUUCUCAUGGACAACCACUAAAAACUCUGGGAGAAAUAUACAAAUGAUCGUUGGAUGAUAGUGAGGAGAAAACAAAAGAAGGUGGUUUCUAGAGGAGAGUUGAGUCCUAUAAGGAGAAAGUCACUAGGUGAGUUUGCUAUAUUUUGCAGCUUUUAUCCUUUGGUCAACCUCAGUCCACCCCAAGCUGGGUAGCUAAAACCUGGAUAGAAUCCAGUGGUCUUCUUGCUUGAAGAACGAGAAGUAAUUUGAAGCAAUUUAAUUAAAAUCACCUAUAGGCCCCUCUGGCACCCAUUGGUAAUCAUCUCAAACAAGGAAACAAAUACAUUUCUUGUCCCUGUUCACACGUGUACAAAGAUGAUAAUGUGAACCCGAUCUUGUUCAAGGAUAAAGGACAUCUUUGUGAAAUGACUGAGCACAAGGUAUAGCAUGUGGCAAUGAAUGUUUCCUUCCUUUCUCCUCUUCCUUCUCAAGAAACAGUAAUAAUACUCUCAGAAUUCAGAUUUCAUUCUCAAAUUCCUCUGUUGGUCUCUUAUCUGGACUUAAUAUUGUCUAAUAAAACCUAAAAGAAGGUUGUCUGUCUGUGAAUAAUGGUCUCAUAAAUAUUACCAAGCAGAGAG
rnacentral:lncRNA from 1 species